UGAGUGCGAGCGGCUACGGCCGCGAAGUGGGUGAUGUCAAGCUUCCAAGAAAAGCCCUAUACCCGUUAAGGCAUGAUGGCCUGUACCCGAAACCGACACAGGUGGGGUGGUAGAGAAUACCGAGGGGCGCGAGGUAACUCUCUCUAAGGAACUCGGCAAAAUGGCCCCGUAACUCCGGGAGAAGGGGUGCCACCGCAAGGUGGUCGCAGUGAAGAGGCCCAGGCGACUGUUUACCAAAAACACAGGUCUCCGCUAAGUCGCAAGACGAUGUAUGGGGGCUGACGCUUGCCCAGUGCCGGAAGGUUAAGGAAGCUGGUCAGCGCAAGCGAAGCUGGCGACUGAAGCCCCGGUGAACGGCGGCCGUAACAAUAACGGUCCUAAGGUAGCGAAAUUCCUUGUCGGGUAAGUUCCGACCCGCACGAAAGGCGUAACGAUCUGGGCGCUGUCUCGGAGAGAGGCUCGGCGAAAUAGAAUUGUCUGUGAAGAUGCGGACUACGUGCACCCGGACAGAAAGACCCUAUGAAGCUUUACUGUAGCUUGGUAUUGUGCCCGGGCUCUGAAUGCGCAGGAUAGGUGGGAGGCUUUGAUCCAUGGCUUGCGGGUCAUGGUGAGCCAACGGUGAGAUACCACUCUUUCAGAGCUAGGGUUCUAACGGUCACCCGUCAUCCGGGGACCGGACAGUAUCAGGUGGGCAGUUUGACUGGGGCGGUCGCCUCCUAAAAGGUAACGGAGGCGCACAAAGGUUUGCUCAGGCUGGUUGGAAAUCAGCCGACGAGUGCAAAAGCAGAAGCAAGCUUGACUGUGAGACCUACAAGUCGAACAGGGACGAAAGUCGGCUUUAGUGAUCCGACGGUUCUGAGUGGAAGGGCCGUCGCUCAACGGAUAAAAGUUACUCUAAGGAUAACAGGCUGAUCUCCCCCAAGAGUUCACAUCGACGGGGAGGUUUGGCACCUCGAUGUCGGCUCAUCGCAACCUGGGGCUGAAGUCGGUCCCAAGGGUUGGGCUGUUCGCCCAUUAAAGCGGUACGCGAGCUGGGUUCAGAACGUCGUGAGACAGUUCGGUCCAUAUCCGGUGCACGCGCAGGAACAUUGAGAGGAUUUCUCCCUAGUACGAGAGGACCGGGAGGAACGCACCUCUGGUGUGCCAGUUAUCGUGCCAACGGUAAACGCUGGGUAGCCAUGUGCGGAGUGGAUAACCGCUGAAAGCAUCUAAGUGGGAAGCCCACCUCAAGAUGAGUGUUCCCAUGGCAUAAGCCAGUAAGGUCACGGGAAGAACACCCGUUGAUAGGCUCUACGUGGAAGCCGGGUAACCGGUGAAGCGGAGGAGUACUAAUAGACCGAGGGCUUG
rnacentral:rRNA from 1 species